rnacentral:rRNA from 1 species
AUCUAAAUAACCCUUCAAAACAUUUAUCUUAAUAUCUUAGUAUAGGUGAUAGAACAGAUUUAUUCUUAGGCACAAUAGAGAGAGUACCGUGAGGGAACGUUGAAAGAUUUUAUCCUGUAAGCAAUAAAAAGCAAAGAUUAAACCUUCUACCUUUUGCAUAAUGAUUUAGCUAGUCUAUCCGGACAAAAAGAAUUAAAGCCCGUCUUCCCGAAAUUAAGUGAGCUAUUGUAGAACAGUUGUUAGAACGAACUCGUCUAUGUAGCAAAAUAGUGAGAUGAUUUUACAAUAGAGGUGAAAAGCCUAUCGAACUUAAUGAUAGCUGGUUGUCCAAAAAGCGAAUUUUAGUUCAACUUUAAAUUUAACCCAAGUACUAAUAAACUGAAUUUAAAUUUAAAUGCUACUCAAAAGGGGGACAACUCUUUUGACAUGUGAACAAACUUGUUUAGUGGGUAAUGAUAUUCACAUAAUACAUUGUAGGCCUAAAAGCAGCCACCAAUUAAGAAAGCGUUAAAGCUCAAACUAGACUGUCAUUUAAUACCAAUCAUCUAUCAAAACCCCUAAUUCAAUAUUGGACAAUUCUAUUAAUAUUUAGAAGAUAUAAUGCUAAUAUGAGUAACAUGAAUUUAUUCUCCUUGCAUAAGCAUAGAUACGACCGGAACAACCGCUUACACUUAACCAACCAAAUAACUAUACCCAUAUACAAGCAUCCUAUUACCCUUAUUGUUAACCCAACUCAGGCAUGCAUUAAAGGAAAGAUUAAAAGAAAUAAAAGGAACUCGGCAAACAAAACCCCGCCUGUUUACCAAAAACAUCACCUCUAGCAUUUACCAGUAUUAGAGGCACUGCCUGCCCGGUGAGUUAUGACUUUAACGGCCGCGGUAUCCUGACCGUGCAAAGGUAGCAUAAUCACUUGUCUCUUAAUUGGAGACUAGUAUGAAUGGCAUGACGAGGGUUU